rnacentral:rRNA from 1 species
GAAUAUUGGACAAUGGAGGUAACUCUGAACCAGCCAUCCAGCGUGCAGGAAGAAGGCCCUACGGGUUGUAAACUGCUUUUGUCAGGGAAUAAACCCUUGGAUUUACUCCGAGGCUGAAGGUACCUGAAGAAUAAGCACCGGCUAACUCCGUGCCAGCAGCCGCGGUAAUACGGAGGGUGCGAGCGUUAUCCGGAAUUACUGGGUUUAAAGGGUGCGUAGGCGGCGCCGUAAGUCAGGAGUGAAAGUUUGCGGCUCAACCGUAAAAUUGCUUUUGAUACUGCGGUGCUAGAAUUAGGAUGAGGUCAGCGGAAUGUGGCAUGUAGCGGUGAAAUGCAUAGAUAUGCCAUAGAACACCAAUUGCGAAGGCAGCUGGCUAGACCUGGAUUGACGCUGAGGCACGAAAGCGUGGGGAGCGAACAGG